AGUGAACGCUGGCGGUAGGCCUAACACAUGCAAGUCGAACGGCAGCACAGUAAGAGCUUGCUCUUACGGGUGGCGAGUGGCGGACGGGUGAGGAAUACAUCGGAAUCUACUUUUUCGUGGGGGAUAAUGUAGGGAAACUUACGCUAAACCGCAUACUACUUACGGGUGAAAGCCGGGGAUCUUCGGCCCUUGCGCGAUUGAAUGAGCCGAUGUCGGAUUAGCUAGUUGGCGGGGUAAAGGCCCACCAAGGCGACGAUCCGUAGCUGGUCUGAGAGGAUGAUCAGCCACACUGGAACUGAGACACGGUCCAGACUCCUACGGGAGGCAGCAGUGGGGAAUAUUGGACAAUGGGCGCAAGCCUGAUCCAGCCAUACCGCGUGGGUGAAGAAGGCCUUCGGGUUGUAAAGCCCUUUUGUUGGGAAAGAAAAGCAGCAGGUUAAUACCCCGCUGUUCUGACGGUACCCAAAGAAUAAGCACCGGCUAACUUCGUG
rnacentral:rRNA from 1 species